CAGCUGGUUCUAGAUGAAGAACUGGGGUCCGAGAAACUAACUUGGGCUUAUCUGCAGCCCGAGCCCCCAGCCUGAAGCCACCACCGGCUAACCACCCACUCAUACACCCUGGCAAGGGACAGGUUAAAGCCGGAGAGACGAUAAACCUCCCAAGUAGGUCCACACCGCAAAGGUCAGAGCACCUCCUGUGUGCCAGCCAUCAGGUCAACAACGACAGCCCUGUCCCUGCCCUCAGAUGGUUCACAGUCUAGGCGAGGGGCCAGCUGGGUCACCAGGGAGACCAGGGCUGGGAAGGCAGAAGCCUGGACACUGUGUAUACACAGAGGAGCCCGACGCAGCCUGGGGGUGUCAGCGAUGGCUUCUAAGAAGGAUCGGUCAUGUCGUCAAGACGCGGAGAUGGCAUCGUGAAAUUCAGGAUGCAGAAUAAAAUCUUUGUUUCCAUACUGGAUGCUCCUUUCCUGGAGUAAUGAGAGAAGAAUGCCCCAGCAUACUGAAGAGGAGAGAAAUCACAGCAUCAGAACCACAUAAUCUACAAUUAUAAUAGCAGCACUUACUGAGCACUUACUACGUGCCACACAAUGUUGUAAGUGGUUUACAGUUUAACCCACUGAAUCCAUUUUCCAGAUAAGGUAAGUGAAGCCCAGAGAGGUUAAACAACCAACUCCAAGUGGCCAGGCAUGAUGGGAGCAGGGCAGUCUGGCCCCAUAGCCCAGGCCAUGGUGGACAUGGGAGGAGGAAAGCUUGAUUGCAAAAUAGCUCCCUGUGGGGCCGGCCUCCCAGAGAGCUGGAAGCUGAGCAGGCUGCCUGUGGGGUGCCCGAGGGGCAGCAGCAUUUGGGGCUUGCUGUCUCUGGGGUCUUCAGGCCUGAGAAAGGGGCUCCCAGCCUCUGCAAGGCACUGGCUCAGCAACCCUCUAACCCACUUCCAUCUCAGAGACCACGUCCUGAGGGGCCCAGGCCAGCUGGGUGCUCAGACAGUUCUGAGAUUGGCCUACAGAUAACGCCAUGUGUUUUGCCAAAGUGGAGGGUGGUGGAUGCGUCUUUUGAAUGUGCAGACGAAAGAGCGGAUGGAACAGUGGGCUGGAAAAGUUGAGGUGCGUUUGCCCAGCGUGGGUCUGGGUAAAUAUUCACUCUAGACAUGCAAAGAGCCUCAGAAGAAUUUGAUCACUCACACCCACCCCCACCCCGCGCCCUUGCCCAGCUGGUCCCCGCCUGAACUCUCUUUCCCCACCUCUUCUCCUCCAUUUGACUCUUCCUUCUCCUCCAGGUCUCUGAUUAAAUGCAGCUUCCUCCAGGAAGCCUUCCCCAUCCUCAGACUGGGUGGGGUGGGACUCUGUGCUGGUUUCACCUGCCCUUGAGCCGGCCAGAUUUGGUUUCACAGCCAAAAAGACGCCAGGCCACUGCAGGGGUAACACCCGGCAGGUGGGCCCUGGGGUGGAGGUUUCAGGCUGCCAGAGAAGACUCACCUCUCAGCACAGUGAUGCCCCCAGGGCCCCUACUGAAUGCCCUCCCACCUGGGUGUCUUCAGCCGUGCAGCGCCCGCCUUUCCUCUGGGUGGUCAGACAAUGUGACAUUUACCUCCUUGCUGUUCUUGUCUGGUUCUUCCACUUAGAGCUGAGGGACCUUGAGCAAGUUACUUGACCUCUCUGUGCCUUAGUUUCCUCAUUCAGGAAAUGAGGAUGAUAAUGGUACCCACCUCAUGAGCAUUAAAGCAGAUGCUCCAUUAUCGCCAUCAUUAUCACCACCACCAUCAUCUCUCCAUUUCCCCAAUUUCGAUAGCGUGCUACUGACUGCACGUCCAAGGGCAGGAACAGGAUUUCCUUGCGCCCUCCAGGGCGUAGCUUUGAGUACAGCAUC